rnacentral:rRNA from 1 species
AACGAACGCUGGCGGCAUGCCUAACACAUGCAAGUCGAACGAGACCUUCGGGUCUAGUGGCGCACGGGUGCGUAACGCGUGGGAACCUGCCCUUAGGUUCGGAAUAACUCCCCGAAAGGGGUGCUAAUACCGGAUAAUGUCUUCGGACCAAAGAUUUAUCGCCUUUGGAUGGGCCCGCGUUGGAUUAGCUAGUUGGUAGGGUAAAAGCCUACCAAGGCGACGAUCCAUAGCUGGUCUGAGAGGAUGAUCAGCCACACUGGGACUGAGGCACGGCCCAGACUCCUACGGGAGGCAGCAGUGGGGAAUAUUGGACAGUGGGCGAAAGCCUGAUCCAGCAAUGCCGCGUGAGUGAUGAAGGCCUUAGGGUUGUAAAGCUCUUUUACCCGGGAUGAUAAUGACAGUACCGGGAGAAUAAGCUCCGGCUAACUCCGUG